GAUGAACGCUGGCGGCGUGCCUAAUACAUGCAAGUCGAGCGAACAGACGAGGAGCUUGCUCCUCUGACGUUAGCGGCGGACGGGUGAGUAACACGUGGAUAACCUACCUAUAAGACUGGGAUAACUUCGGGAAACCGGAGCUAAUACCGGAUAAUAUAUUGAACCGCAUGGUCCAAUAGUGAAAGACGGUUUUGCUGUCACUUAUAGAUGGAUCCGCGCCGCAUUAGCUAGUUGGUAAGGUAACGGCUUACCAAGGAAACGUUGCGUAGCCGACCUGAGGGGGGUUCCGGCCCCCCUGGAACGGGAACACGGCCAAACCCCCUCGGGGGGGCAGCAGUGGGAAACCUUCCGAGAUGGGCAAACCCCUGACGGGGCACCCCCGGGUGAGUGAAGAGGGUUUUCGGAUGGUAAACCUCUUUUUUUAGGGAAAAAAAAAUGUGUAAGUACCUAUGCCCGUUUUGACGGUACCUAAAAAAAAACCCCCGGCAAACUACG
rnacentral:rRNA from 1 species